GAUGAACGCUGGCGGCGUGCCUAAUACAUGCAAGUCGAGCGAACAGAUGAGGAGCUUGCUCCUCUGACGUUAGCGGCGGACGGGUGAGUAACACGUGGAUAACCUACCUAUAAGACUGGGAUAACUUCGGGAAACCGGAUCUAAUACCGGAUAAUAUAUUGAACCGCAUGGUUCAAUAGUGAAAGACGGUUUUGCUGUCACUUAUAGAUGGAUCCGCGCCGCAUUAGCUAGUUGGUAAGGUAACGGCUUACCAAGGCAACGAUGCGUAGCCGACCUGAGAGGGUGAUCGGCCACACUGGAACUGAGACACGGUCCAGACUCCUACGGGAGGCAGCAGUAGGGAAUCUUCCGCAAUGGGCGAAAGCCUGACGGAGCAACGCCGCGUGAGUGAUGAAGGUCUUCGGAUCGUAAAGCUCUGUUAUUAGGGAAGAACAAAUGUGUAAGUAACUAUGCACGUCUUGACGGUACCUAAUCAGAAAGCCACGGCUAACUACGUG
rnacentral:rRNA from 1 species